UUUUGGACAAUGGGGGAAACCCUGAUCCAGCGACGCCGCGUGAAGGAUGAAGGUCUUCGGAUUGUAAACUUCUUUUCCCCCCCCACUAAGAAAGCUGCUGAAAUGCGGAUAGUGAAUGUACCAGAGGAAUAAGCCACGGCUAACUUCGUGCCAGCAGCCGCGGUAAUACGAAGGUGGCAAGCGUUACUCGGAAUUACUAGGCGUAAAGGGCAGGCAGGUGGUCUGAUAAGUCUAUUGUGAAAGCUCCCGGCUUAACUGGGAGAGCUCCACAGAUACUGUCAGGCUUGAGUAUAGGAGAGGGUACUGGAAUUCCCCGGUGUAGCGGUGAAAUGCGCAGAGAUCGGGAGGAACACCAAUGGCGAAAGCAGGUACCUGACUAUUACUACAUCAGCGCGAAAGUUUAGCUGAAU
rnacentral:rRNA from 1 species